GGCGAUAAGUGCAACGCAGGUGUCAAUGUGCAUGCAGCAGUUGGACCCGCGGUUUCCCUCUGUUCUCACCGUCUCCCCCCUCGCCGUCACUAUGAGUGCCUAUAGAUACAGAGAGCGAAAACCCGAUUGUGCAGUGCAGCAACCAAGUCUCAAAUCAACCUCGAGAUUUAAUUAGCCGCUAAAGAAAGAGGAAUUUCACCACCAAUACCAAUUCCAGCAUGGAGAGGAAAUCGCUUGGGCUCUUCGUCUUGCUUAUUAGUGCCUUUGCCACUCAAGAUCAGAUGGUGGUGCCGGCGGAGGGGAGAGUGUGCCAGGCACCUAGCGGCAAAUUCAAUGGGCCAUGCUUCUUUAACAAAAGUUGCGCGGAUGUGUGCCAGAACAGCGAGCAUCUUCUUGGCGGCUAUUGCAAAAAAUUGAUGUGUUACUGCAGCAGGAAUUGCUAAUUAAUUAUUAAGCAAUUGGGUCUCACUCCCACCCUCCACAUACCCACUGUCCUAUGCCAUAUAUGUGCAUGCAGCAUGCAUUUAGUAAUAACAGGGUGUCCUAUUUGUAGAUUGCUUUGGAGCUGGCUACUGUCAUACUCAUAGUCGGCUGCAUAUGAUAGUUAAAUAAAACGAGAUGUGAUCUUUGUCCUGUUUAA